AUGGUCUGCAGAAGCAAAAGACCAAAGAUUCCAUGGUUGCUGGACCUAUUCUUGAUUGUCGCUCCUUGUCUACUUGGCUUCCUGACCCACUUCUGAGCCUGCUCCUCUUGUGGGAAGCUUGUUUGCCUAAAUUUCUGUUUUGAUCCACUUAACUCACAAGCUAUCUUUGUGCUCCGGCUUUCCUUUCCGGUUACAGAGAGAGGGGGAUGGAAAAUAAAGAACAUCAGAGGCAGCAUUUUAAAACGAGGAUUUGAAAAUUGUCAGUGAAUCUAUAAUGAACCAUCAUUUGAUUAGAACGAUAGAGCUUCUCUAAAUCUACCAUCAUCCACUUAGUCGUCUUUCUGGCUACAGAAUAGCUUUCUGCAUUCCUGUAACAGUUCCUGCCAUUUACAUCUGGGAGUUUCAUCUGCAUGUCAUGACUGACUCGCAUUCCCCCAUGUCUGGGGAGGAAAUUUGAUUGACUCAGGUUGUAUUGAGUAUCACUCACUAUCCAGUUGCUCAAGAUGAGGAAGGAAGGGGCAGCAUUGUGCAAAUACUGCUGCUGCACCUCCUGCAGUUCUGGACACAGAAGAAGACUCACUAAAUACUCAGAUUGACCAGUGAUUCUGAUCCCUCGUGAGAAUUGCAUAGCAUCUUCAACUUGAGGUUGUAAUCCCCAUGAAACAUUCAUCUGGGUGCCUCCCUCUCCUUGGGUCCAGUGGCAGGUACAACACAGGAGAGGAAGAUGACGAUGUUGAAAUUGUGGCACAGGAACCAGCUUCAUUCUCCAUCCUUACCACUUGCCGGCCUCUGAACCCGUGCUCUGUUCCUCAUGGGAAUGCUGAGAGACAGUACCUGGCCAUGCUUGCGAAGGCUUGCGGUGUCCCUGGGUUAUGCUAUCAGUGCUCCCAUCACACAUCUUCAUCUUUCUUUCCUGUAGGAUUCAUUAAAUUUCCCACCCAUGACUGAGCUACAUUGUGACAUUUGACCAACUCAGGUUUGCUGAACUCUUGCCCCUGUCCAGAAGCAACUGGUGGCUGCUGCCUGAGAUGGGAAUGAGAGAAGUGAUUUGGAGAGAUCAUUAGACACACGAGAGAGGUACUGAGGCCUGAGCAUGCUUUCCAACGAAUAAAAGCUAUUUAAAAUUGUCA